rnacentral:rRNA from 1 species
UACGGAGGGCGCAAGCGUUGUUCGGAUUUAUUGGGCGUAAAGCGCGUGUAGGUGGACUGGUAAGUUGGGUGUGAAAUCCCGGGGCCCAACCCCGGGAUUGCAUUCAAAACUACCAGGCUAGAGUCCCGGAGAGGAAGGCGGAAUUCCCGGUGUAGAGGUGAAAUUCGUAGAUAUCGGGAGGAACACCAGUGGCGAAGGCGGCCAUCUGGACGGUGACUGACACUGAGACGCGAAAGCGGGGGGAGCAAACAGG